rnacentral:tRNA from 1 species
GCAGUCGUGGCCGAAUGGUUAAGGCGAUGGUCUAAAAAUUCAUCGGGGUCUCCCCGCACAGGUUUGAAUCCUGUUGACUGCG